GACGAACGCUGGCGGCGUGCUUAACACAUGCAAGUCGAACGGAAAGGCCAGUGCUUGCACUGGUGCUCGAGUGGCGAACGGGUGAGUAACACGUGGGUGAUCUGCCUUGCACUCUGGGAUAAGCUUGGGAAACUGGGUCUAAUACCGGAUAUGAACUGCCUUUAGUGUGGUGGUUGGAAAGUUUUUUCGGUGCAAGAUGAGCUCGCGGCCUAUCAGCUUGUUGGUGGGGUAAUGGCCUACCAAGGCGUCGACGGGUAGCCGGCCUGAGAGGGUGUACGGCCACAUUGGGACUGAGAUACGGCCCAGACUCCUACGGGAGGCAGCAGUGGGGAAUAUUGCACAAUGGGCGGAAGCCUGAUGCAGCGACGCCGCGUGGGGGAUGACGGCCUUCGGGUUGUAAACUCCUUUCGACAGGGACGAAGCGUAAGUGACGGUACCUGUAUAAGAAGCACCGGCUAACUACGUG
rnacentral:rRNA from 1 species